rnacentral:tRNA from 1 species
UCUAAUAUGGCAGAAUAAUGCAAUGAGCUUAAAAUUCAUAUAUAAAGAAUAAUCUUUUAUUAGAA